AGGCGGCUAGCUCAAUUGGCUAGAGCACCAGCAUUACAAGCUGGGGGUUGAAGGUUCAAGUCCUUCGUCGCCUA
rnacentral:tRNA from 1 species